rnacentral:lncRNA from 1 species
CUGAACUCACAGUGGCAACCAGCUUGGGUCUGCUCCCACGCUGUUGGGGCGGGGGCGGGGGGGGGGUUGUUCUUUUGCUCCUUGGGUCCACACUGCGUUUAUGAGCUGUAAUAUUCACCGCAAAGGUCUGCAGCUUCACUACUAAGCCAACGAGACCACAAACCCACCAGGAGGAACGACAAUUCCAGACGCGUGGCUUUAACAGCUGUUAACACUCACCGCGAAGGUCUGUAGCUUCAUUUCUGAGUCAGCGAGACCACGAACCCACCAGAAAGAAGAAACUCCGAACACACCCGAACCUCAGAAGGAACAAAUUCCGGACACGCCGCCUUUAAGAACUGUAACACUCACCACAAGGGUCCGCGGCUUCAUUCUUGAAGUCAGUGAGACCAAGAACCCACUAAUUCCGGACACACUUUGACCAGCAGAGCAGGCAGAAGUAAAGCCACGGUUCACAGAAGUGACCUGGGAGAAGCAGCAGCCCCGGGAGAGGCUUAACUAGCAGAGCACUGAGGCCCACCGACAGCCAUGUGCAUGAGCUUGGAAGCACAUCUCCCCAACCCACCCCAGUCAAGCCUGCAGAUGAGACCUCAGCUGCAGCUGACAACUCGGCUACAACUUUGUGAGAGACCUGGAGCCAAAAGCACCUAGCUAAGCUGUGCCUGUAUUUCUGACCCACAGAAACUCUGAGAUUGUUCCAGCUUUUGCCAGUGGAAGCCCCUCCAAGAUGGAGAAGCUCUACUUUAAAUUCCAGGCCCCUAAGGAAAGGUUUGCAAGAGGGCUCUCUCCAGCCAUCCACCCCCACCACCCUUAGAAACUCCUGCUACACACCAUGGAUGGGGAAGUGAAGGGAAAGGAGAUCAUCUGGCACAUGCCUCGUUGGAGAUCACUAAAGAUGCAGAUUUGUAAAUCAACAGCAAAUAGGCAGUGGCUGCAGCUCUGGAGUUGAAUGGGAUCACCCAAGAAGAGACAAAUAGAGGCAGAAGAAAGCUCCAAGGAUGAGAAAUUGGGAAACAACAAUAUUUAAGCUGGGGAAAAAUUUUAAAAGCAGGAGUGAUCUAAGAAACUGAGCAGGAGCCGGCCAAGAGACAGGAAGACAAAUGAGAACGAGUGUUUCUAAGGAAAUCUGAGGAGAGGAGAGCUUCACAAAACGUCACGUAGGAUGAAGACUGAAAAGAGGCCAUUGAUUUGCCAAUGUGAAGGUCAUUGGUGACCAGGGUAAGAACAGAAGAAUAUUAGGAUGAAUAGGCAAGAAAGAAUUUGAUAGCACAUUUGAUUCUAUGGGCAAGGAAGGAGGUAGCCAUGGAAGGUUUUUGAGUGUGGAAGCCUCAUGAUGACAGCAAAAUGUGAGGAAGAGUCAUGUGGGCAUUUGCAUGAAAAGUAGACCAGAGGAUCCAGAGUCUAGAGUCUGAAGUCCCCCUAGGGUGUCAACCCAGGAAAUGGCCUCAAACAAAGCAUAUGGCUUAGGAGAAAUGGAAAUGACCCAGUGACAAAUUGAUAUGGAGACCUAUCAAAAAAGAUUGACUCCAAGGUUUUGGGUGCUGGUAGCUGAGAGGAUGGGAAUGCCAUUGAAACCAUUGUUCCAGGAGGUUUUGAUGGGGAAAUGGGAUGCCUGGUGGACCUGCCCAGGAAUG